UGGGGAGUAUAGAGUCUGGUAUUUCUCACACUGUCAAUCUCAUGUAAAUAGCCGAGCCAGGCACACUGUAUGGAAAGCCUGUAAGACUCCAUUGGCUGGCUGAGAAUCCAAGCUAAAAAUGCAACUUGCUAAAGAGACUACCCAGCAAAUAGCUUUCUUUGGCAGAACAUUGCUGUUCUGCCCAGGAGGGAAUUUGAUAAAGUGCUUUACUCGGUGGCAACAUUUUGAUCUCAGCUUUCCUCAGAUCACCCUGGGAUAAUGAAAUUGGAAUCCAUUUAAACCUUCCAUUUCACCCCACAUAGUUCAUAGACACCAUGUCAAACCACAUCAUGCAGCAACAAAUGUGCCUAAAUCUACACACUUACUCCCCCAUUACACGCACUACUCUUAGUCAGAUUGGAAAUAAAUUAUGGAAUACAAUUUCUUCACUUGCUACUCUUGUAGCUAUAAUAGAAUCUCAAAUCCAAGAUAAUCCUCAAUGCAUAAGCAACUGUAUCAUUUCAUGCCUAGUUUAGCAACUGGUCAUUCUGACCAGUCUAAGAAUGGCACAGCCACUUCUGGAACACAGCCAACCAUGCGAUACGCACUAUGCCCCAUCUGCUGAUGGGUUCUGUCCCUUUUAUCGAAGCAUGUAUGACUAUAGCAUUUGUGAUUAUAUUGUAUUUUGUCUCCGUAUCCUAGAAAAGAUGAGCCCAGAUUAAAUGGAACCAAAGACCAUCCACAGAGAGUAGUCUCUGGAUUUAGAUAUUUUAUAAUUUAGAUCAAAUCCCUGGAACAUUUCCUUCUCACUUUCUCCUUUGACUUUGCUCCCUGAAGGUGAUCUUAGGCCAUGAAAAAUAUUUGAAUACUCUACCAUCAAAAGACAUUCAGAAUUUGCCUACUGCUCAGCACCUGCUGGCGCACACCAGCCUUGUCUCUCAGCUUGCUGGAGUAACCUCUUGUUAGUCAUGGUUUGGCUUCUACUCCCAAUACCCACUGUGAUGUCACAAAUAUUCCACUUCCAUGAAGGACCCAGGGCCUUAGCUGCUGGGAAUACAGUCCCGGAAGCCCUUGACACUCAUCCCCUAUGGGCUACCAAGUCAUGGUCCUUCAUUGUCCUUGUUACUGCCACUGAAAGACCUAAACUUAAUGAGAUCACACUGGAGAAUAAAGGUUUGGCCACCUUGGGCCUUGUAGGGACAAUGCAGAAACUCCUAGGCGGUGACAAAGGUGCUUCCCGGGCUGGCUGUAAUACAGCCGGGCUUGGUCCCCUGCACAUUCCUCCUCUUGCCUCUGUUUUCCACAUGGCUGAGCUCUGCCUCCCAACCACCACCUCAGAAUUGCUUUGCCAACCUUCAAACGUGUACCUUUCACAAAGCACGAGUCAUCCUACCACCCUCCACGAGAUGCCCUCCUCACAAUCCUUCUUGUCACCUCACUGUCUUCUGAGGCCUCAUUCUGGCCUGAGAGGUCCCAUCACAUCUCCCCCUAUCUCUUCCCACUCUUUCCUUGCUCUGGGAUCCAGCCACCCCACCUCCUCAAGCUGCUCCGGCGCACACCAUCAUGAGGCUGUUGUACUUGCGCUCUGCUUCCUUUGCUCAGAAAACACCUCUUCCAGAUGGAGAUGGAUACAUUUUUUUUUCUAUAAAGAGCCAAAUAGUUCAGGGUCCUGACACCAAACUUUGAGGAAGGCCAGAAAUCCCCAACAAGUAAGCAGAUCCUCAGUGAAUUUAAAACUAAGUGCUGCUUUGUCAAAAUU
ensembl:lincRNA